rnacentral:rRNA from 1 species
CAAUAGCGUAUAUUAAAGUUGUUGCAGUUAAAAAGCUCGUAGUUGAAUCUUGGGAGCGGGUGGGCUAGCGAGCCACAGCCCGUCCCUGCUUCUUGCCUCUCGGUGCCCCCUGGAUGCUCUUAGCUGAGUGUCCUGUGGCCCGAAGCACUUACUUUGAAAAAAUUAGAGUGUUCAAAGCAGGCCCAAGCCGCCUGGAUACUGCAGCUUGGAAUAAUGGAAUAGGACCACAGUUCUAUUUUGUUGGUUUUCGGAACUGAGGCCAUGAUUAAGAGGGACGGCCGGGGGCAUUCAUAUUGCACCGCUAGAGGUGAAAUUCUUGGACUGGCAGUUUAGACCAGAGCGAAAGCAUUUGCCAAGAAUGUUUUCAUUAAC